CGAGCCCGUUAGGCGACCGCGGCGCAAGUCGAGGAAAGUCCGGACUCCAUAGGGCACGGUGCUGGGUAACUCCCAGGCGGGGCAACCCGACGGAAAGUGCAACAGAGAGCAAACCGCCGAUGGCCCUUCGGGGCACAGGUAAGGCUGAAAGGGUGGUGUAAGAGACCACCAGCGUCGCGGGAGACCGGGACGGCUAGGUAAACCCCACCGGGAGCAAGGCCAAGCAGGGACGGGUAGCCCGCCCAAUGUCCCAGGUAGGCCGCGCGAGGCCGAAGGCAACGACGGUCCCAGAUAGAUGGUCGCCCACGACAGAAUCCGGCUUACAGACGGGCUCAUGAA
rnacentral:RNase_P_RNA from 1 species